UACAGGGGGUGCAAACGUUGCUCGGAAUCAUUUGGGCGUAAAGCGCACGUAGGCGGUUCGUUAUGUCGGAUGUGAAAGCCCUUGGCUUAACCGAGGAAGUGCAUCCGAAACUGGCGAGCUAGAGUACGAAAGAGGAUCGCGGAAUUCCCGGUGUAGAGGUGAAAUUCGUAGAUAUCGGGAGGAACACCGGUGGCGAAGGCGGCGAUCUGGGUCGAUACUGACGCUAGGUGCGAAAGCGUGGGGAGCAAACAGG
rnacentral:rRNA from 1 species